GUCUCCGUCAUCUGGUGCCGAAACCCGGGAUACUCGGACUCCAAUGACAAAGGCGUCGCUUCCUCCCACGAGCCGCGGUUGUAGCCCUCAGCCUUGUCUGGUGAAAAACUCUCUCAUGUAUGCAACCAUCUUUUGCAUUGUUUUAGCGUUAUGGGAACAAUGAAAUCAUUAAAAACCGAUAACGGGCCAGCUUAUGUAAGUAACGGUUUUGCAACCUUUUGUCGACAUUUUAAAAUUUACCAUAAAACUGGAAUUCCAUAAUCCAGAAGGCCAAGGCAUAGUAGAAAAAUUUAAUCAUUUAUUGAAAACUCAACUAAAGAAAAUAAAAAGAGGGACAUGAGGAAAUAAAGAUACUCCAUCCUCUAUGUUAUCACAUGCA